rnacentral:rRNA from 1 species
AACGAACGCUGGCGGCAGGCUUAACACAUGCAAGUCGAGCGCCCCGCUAGGGGAGCGGCCGACGGGUGAGUAACGCGUGGGAACGUACCUUUUGGUUCGGAACAACUCCGGGAAACUGGAGCUACUACCGGAUAAGCCCUAACGGGGAAAGAUUUAUCGCCGAAAGCUCGGCCCGCAACUGAUUAGCUAGUUGGUGAGGUAACGGCUCACCAAGGCGACGACCAGUAGCUGGUCUGAGAGGAUGAUCCGCCACACUGGGACUGAGACACGGCCCAGACUCCUACGGGAGGCAGCAGUGGGGAAUAUUGGACAAUGGGCGCAAUCCUGAUCCAGCCAUGCCGCGUGAGUGAUGAAGGCCUUAGGGUUGUAAAGCGCUUUUGUCCGGGAAGAUAAUGACGGUACCGGAAGAAUAAGCCCCGGCUAACUCCGUG